GAUGAACGCUAGCGGGAGGCCUAACACAUGCAAGCCGAGCGGUAUUGUUUCUUCGGAAAUGAGAGAGCGGCGUACGGGUGCGUAACACGUGUGCAACCUGCCUUUAUCUGGGGGAUAGCCUUUCGAAAGGAAGAUUAAUACUCCAUAACAUAUUGAACGGCAUCGUUUAAUAUUGAAAGCUCCGGCGGAUAGAGAUGGGCACGCGCAAGGUUAGCUAGUUGGUGAGGUAACGGCUCACCAAGGCGAUGAUCUUUAGGGGGCCUGAGAGGGUGAUCCCCCACACUGGGACUGAGACACGGACCAGACUCCUACGGGAGGCAGCAGUGAGGAAUAUUGGUCAAUGGGUGCAAGCCUGAACCAGCCAGCCCGCGUGAAGGACGACUGCCCUAUGGGUUGUAAACUUCUUUUGUAUAGGGAUAAACCUACCCUCGAGAGGGUAGCUGAAGGUACUAUACGAAUAAGCACCGGCUAACUCCGUGCCAGCCGCCGCCGUAACAC
rnacentral:rRNA from 1 species